ACGGCUAACUACGUGCCAGCAGCCGCGGUAAUACGUAGGUCCCGAGCGUUAUCCGGAAUUAUUGGGCGUAAAGGGCACGUAGGCGGACAAAUAAGUUUGAUGUCAAAUAUGAUGGCUCAACCAUCAAGAGGCGUUGAAAACUGUUUAUCUAGAAUCUCGGAGAGGUAAGUGGAAUUCCAUGUGUAGUGGUGGAAUGCGUAGAUAUAUGGAGGAACACCAAUGGCGAAGGCAGCUUACUGGACGAAGAUUGACGCUGAGGUGCGAAAGCGUGGGUAGCAAACAGGAUUAGAUACCCUGGUAG
rnacentral:rRNA from 1 species